ensembl:snRNA U6 U6 spliceosomal RNA
GUGCUCGCUUCGGCAGCACAUAUACUAAAAUUGGAACAAUACAGAAAAGAUUAGAAUGGCCCCUGCGCAAGAUGACACACAAAUUUGUGAAGUGUUCCAUAUUUUU